rnacentral:rRNA from 1 species
GACGAACGCUGGCGGCGUGCUUAACACAUGCAAGUCGAACGGAAAGGCCCUGCUUUUGUGGGGUGCUCGAGUGGCGAACGGGUGAGUAACACGUGAGUAACCUGCCCUUGACUUUGGGAUAACUUCAGGAAACUGGGGCUAAUACCGGAUAGGAGCUCCUGCUGCAUGGUGGGGGUUGGAAAGUUUCGGCGGUUGGGGAUGGACUCGCGGCUUAUUGGCUUGUUGGUGGGGUAGUGGCUUACCAAGGCUUUGACGGGUAGCCGGCCUGGGUGGGUGAACGGCCGCCCUGGAACGGAGACCCGGCCCAGUGUGCUACGGGAGGCAGCCGAAGCGAAUCUGGCGCGAUGGGGGGGAGACUGUCGCAGCAACGCCGCGUGAGUGAUGAAGGUCUUCGGGUCGUGGAACGCUGUUAUUAGGGAUGAACAACUGUGUCAGUAGCUAUGAACGUCUAGACGGUACCUAAGCAAAAAGACACGGCUCACUACGCG